GACGAACGCUGGCGGCGUGCCUAAUACAUGCAAGUCGAACGCAGUGGGGACGGGUGAGUAACACGUGGGUAAACUCCCAUCAGAGGGGAUAACACUUGGAAACAGGUGCUAAACCGAUAUUGAUGGAUGGACCAGCGGUGCAUUAGCUGGUUGGUGAGGUAACGGCUCACCAAGGACACGAUGCAUAGCCGACCUGGGAGUGUGAUCGGCCCACCUGGGACGGAUGCACGGCCCAGACUCCUACGGGAGGCAGCAGUAGUGAAUCUUCGGCAAUGGACGAAAGUCUGACCGAGCAACGCCGCGUGAGUGAUGACGGCCUUCGGGUUGUAAAGCUCUGUUAAUCGGGACGCGGUACCGGAAUAGAAAGCCACGGCUAACUACGUGCCAGCAGCCGCGGUAAUAC
rnacentral:rRNA from 1 species